UACGUAGGGAGCAAGCGUUAUCCGGAUUCAUUGGGCGUAAAGAGCGUGUAGGUGGCUUAUCAAGUCAGAUGUGAAAACUAGGGGCUCAACCCGUAGCUUGCAUCUGAAACUGGUAGGCUUGAGUUUGGUAGAGGAGUGUGGAAUUCCGAGUGUAGCGGUGGAAUGCGCAGAUAUUCGGAGGAACACCGGUGGCGAAGGCGGCACUCUGGGCCAUAACUGACACUGAGACGCGAAAGCGUGGGUAGCAAACAGG
rnacentral:rRNA from 1 species